CUCCGCGUGGAAAGCGCUGUUAUUCCCCAGCAGGUGUAAUCUAGCAAACCAAAAACACCCGCGUGCCUCCUCCUGGUCCAACACACGACCCGGAUCACAGCAGACAGUCCCGGUAAAUCGGCAUACUUCAUCAAUUAGGUGAUGAUCGAUUGGGAGAUCUGAGGGGUUAUCAGUAUUGAUGUUGUGUCAAUAUCCAUCCGACCUGCUUCUGCGCUCGCGACAUUCAAACUCCCCGAAAACCGCGAAAGUCUUCGACAUCAAAGGACAAAGCGCUACAUUUGUGUUCUAGAACAAAUCUGAAGUUACAGUUCUCCCGGCUCUUCCUCAACAUGACCACAGGACCGAGGAAACAAGCAGCCUUCGUCCAGGGAAACCAGAGCGUAAUUGAACAUGAUGCUUCCCACUCAGCACUCUUUUACCUUUUCCAAGAAGUUUCCAAGCUAGCGUCCCCCAUCCACAACAGUUUCCUGGACACAAAUUCACCCUCCACAUGGCUACAUGAGACUUCUAGACAAGGUCCUCUUGUAGUCAAAAAAGAGGAAGAGGAUGCACAUCUGUUUAAAAUCUCUAACAAUUCUGGCCAGAACCGUUUGUCUCAUAAGUCACCUUAUAAACAAAUGAGAAAAGUGAAGGAGGAAAGUAAGGAGGAAAGCAAGGUCACAACUUUGACUGAGCCACAUCCGAAAAGCAACAGCCCCUGGAAAGUACUGAGUUUGAUCAAUCGGCAGUGUGAGAGGCUCCUGUAUCAAGGAGAUGUGGAGUCAGAACCAAGUUUAGUAUCAUCUACCGCAAAAUUAGGCCAUUCAAAAGAUAAAUCAUCGACUGUGACAGCAGAUGUAACGGAUCAGGGAGUCGGAGGUGACUGUGUGGGUGAUGAAUGCACUCUGAGACCAUCCCUUCUUACCCGCGAGAGCCAAGAAAUCCCAGCCUGUGUCAGUCUUGUGGAAGAUGUGAGAGGAGACGGCAGGAGAACUAUAAGUUCUAAAACACAGUGUCAUGUGAAAGACUCCAAGGUGGGCUGCUGUGUUCAGCCACAAACGACUGAAAAUGUUCCAGAGCUCAGUGCUGACAGUCAAUUUGAGUGGAACCAGGAUUGUAAGAGGGAUUGUUUUUCUUUCGAACGAGAUAUUUUGCAUGUCCCCUUCUCUGAAAAUGUUUUGUCGCAAACGCACAUCCCCUACGCAUUCCUUAAUGCCCAGCUGACUUUUAAUUCAAACGAAGAUGCAAAUGUAGCUCGGUCAAAGCCAGCACUGGACCACAAUGCAAACUUUGCUUUGACUGCAGAGCCCCCACGUGACACCCAGCUUCUCCCUCUGAACCCCGUCCCGCCUAAUUCGCAAUCCGCAUCGCUUUUAUUUGGCACUACAGAGAAGUGUCAGUCACUCGUAAAACAAGAUGACACAAUAACAUCAUCUAAACCAGAAUGUCCACACGCUCACAUAGAGGGAAAAUGCCCUCCAGCUGCACAACUGAAAUCCUCAAGCCACAAUGGAGAAACAACCCCCCAACAUCAAAACCAGAACCGAGGCCAGUACAAAAGGAGGAACUUGCGUCUCCAUCUACCCAGCGGUGCAGAACCAAGACUCCUAGAAAACAACCUCAUCCCAGGCGGAGUGCUGAUAUCCAGGACCCAGACUUCCAGGGAGUUGCGUUCAGGAUGGACACGGAACUGGACGACAAUAGGGGACAAUGUCGGCUCCUCAUAACUUCAAAAUACAGCAAGGAGCUCCACAAGAGCGUGAGGAAACAGAGGCUGAGGAGUCGGACGUCCCAGAAAUCCAUUAAAACUAGCAGCUCCGAUGAGGAGAGUUACCCAACGACCAGCGUUUCCAAGGGUAAAGUGUGUGCAUCAUGCUGCACCAGGAAGACCCCCAUGUGGAGGGAUGCAGAGGACGGGACUCCACUCUGUAAUGCCUGUGGAAUAAGGUAUAAGAAGUACAGAGUGCGCUGUGUCAAAUGCUGGUAUAUCCCAAGGAAAGAGGGCAACUCCAUCUCGUGCUGCCUCAAGUGUGGAAAUUUUGUGAGGCUGACCUCAGCUCAGCGGAAACACACCGCCUAGAGAAACACGCUCCGUGCAAAGGUUUUUACGUCCACAUGCGACGAAGCACUACGCACAUUUGCACACAACAAUCCAAGACUACGCUCUCUGCUCCUAGUUCUUUGUCCUCUACAGUUCAUGCAGGCUGGAAUACAAACAUAGAAGAGCAGCACCAGCUCCUCCUUGACUCAGUGUUUAAAUUACCAUCACUGCUACAAUGUCGUACCUAAGGAAACAGCACAAAUUCCCUUUGGCUCUAUGGCUGCUCAAACGGUGCUGCUUGUAUCAGAGAACAACAUAAAAAUUAAAAAAAAAGACUUGUACAUGACUUGUACUACCUGUACUUAAUUAUUUACUGCACUGAUCCUAUUUGCACUCUGACCUGUUUGUAGCAUGUGUGACAGGACUAAUAAAGUUGACAGGUUUGUUUUAUGUUGAUUUGUAGCAUCACUGUAGCAUGAAUGGGAUCCUGAAAGCCUAAGAAGUGGACACAUUCAGUAGAAAGUGUUGCAUUUUUUCAUCCAAACAGCUCCAGUGUUGCUUGUGUAUAAUGGUCAGCUGCGCCAGAUGGCUGCAGCAGAAAGUUAUUUCUGCACGGGACCACAAACUGCAACUUGAGCUCAGUGCUGCGUUCACUGUCAUUAACUGCAAAACAACUUACUUCUCAGGACCUUUGACAGAAAAAACUGUCUGCUAAGGUCAGUGGAUAAACAUUUAGUUGCACACGUUAAAUUAAGUUGUUAUUAUUAAGUUAUUUGUCGUCUUUGUCAUUGAUUCUAAGUGUGUUUGUUUUUUUUCUUUUGUUGUUCAUUUGGGGAUUUGACGGUUAAAUUGGUGCAUGGAUUUCUUCAGCAUUGCUGUUUUC